rnacentral:lncRNA from 1 species
CGCAUAUGCCAUUACUGUAUAGUAACUGAAUCUGAAAUAUAUAAUGAUACUGCAGCAGCUCCACCUGUAAUUAUACGGCCAUGUAGUAAAUAGAGGCCAUUCUUCAUCCUUCCCUUCAUCACCACAAGUGCACCCUUUGAGAUCUUCAUAACUCCACCUUCACCCUUAUAACUACAGCCAUUGGAGUCAAGUGUACCCAAGGAAAUUAGGUUCUUUUUAAGCUCUAGAACAUGACAUUAGCCCAAGUUCUCACCAU